rnacentral:tRNA from 1 species
GCGAGAGUGGCGGAAUUGGCAGACGCGCUAGACUUAGGAUCUAGUGCCGAAAGGUGUGGGGGUUCGAGUCCCCCCUCUCGUACCA